rnacentral:tRNA from 1 species
UCCCGUGUGGCUCAGUUGGUAGAGCAUGGUGUUUGCAACGCCAGGGUUGUGGGUUUGAUUCCCACUGGGGAC